rnacentral:rRNA from 1 species
UAGGGAAUCUUCCACAAUGGGCGCAAGCCUGAUGGAGCAACACCGCGUGAGUGAAGAAGGGUUUCGGCUCGUAAAGCUCUGUUGUUAAAGAAGAACACGUAUGAGAGUAACUGUUCAGUACGUUGACGGUAUUUAACCAGAAAGUCACGGCUAACUACGUGCCAG